UCCUCUGUGGCGCAAUUGGCUAGCGCGUCUGACUGUUACUUGGUACUAUCCUCCAUGUUGAAAUAUGGUGGUGUAGAAUAUCCUAUGGGGCAUAUCAGGAGGUUGACAGUUCAAGCCUGUCCGGAGGAG
rnacentral:tRNA from 1 species